rnacentral:tRNA from 1 species
UAUUUUUAUAGUGUAUUUAACACAUAACAUUUUCAUUGUUAAAAAGCUAAAGCUAAAAAUAU